rnacentral:rRNA from 1 species
UUUGUUGGCGCAACCUGAG